AUUGAACGCUGGCGGCAUGCUUUACACAUGCAAGUCGAACGGCAGCGCGGGCUUCGGCCUGGCGGCGAGUGGCGAACGGGUGAGUAAUGCAUCGGAACGUGCCCAGUAGUGGGGGAUAGCCCGGCGAAAGCCGGAUUAAUACCGCAUACGACCUGAGGGUGAAAGCGGGGGACCGAAAGGCCUCGCGCUAUUGGAGGGCCGAUGUCGGAUUAGCUAGUUGGUGGGGUAAAGGCUUACCAAGGCGACGAUCCGUAGCUGGUCUGAGAGGACGACCAGCCACACUGGGACUGAGACACGGCCCAGACUCCUACGGGAGGCAGCAGUGGGGAAUUUUGGACAAAGGGGGCAACCCUGAUCCAGCCAUGCCGCGUGCGGGAAGAAGGCCUUCGGGUUGUAAACCGCUUUUGUUCGGGAAGAAAUCCUCUGGGCUAAUACCCCGGGGGGAUGACGGUGCCGGAAGAAUAAGCACCGGCUAACUACGUG
rnacentral:rRNA from 1 species